UACGGGGGGGGCAAGCGUUGUUCGGAAUUACUGGGCGUAAAGGGCUCGUAGGCGGCCAACUAAGUCAUACGUGAAAUCCCUCGGCUUAACCGGGGAACUGCGUCUGAUACUGGAUGGCUUGAGUUCGGGAGAGGGAUGCGGAAUUCCAGGUGUAGCGGUGAAAUGCGUAGAUAUCUGGAGGAACACCGGUGGCGAAGGCGGCAUCCUGGACGAUAACUGACGCUGAGACGCGAAAGCGUGGGGAGCAAACAGG
rnacentral:rRNA from 1 species